CGGCCGCCGCCCUCCCCGGCGCAGCCUUCGGCGAGCAUAGCCCGCGCCCCCGAGCGCCUUUGUGCGUUCCGCGGGAACCCGCGCCGGGCCUUUUUACCUAGGGUUGGAGACCUUGCGACGGGGAACUCCCUCCUCAUCCGGCGCAGUGGCCGAGCGACUGAGAAACCGCCUGAAGAGCACUCACUCCGCGGCAACCACAACCGGGCGUCCCCGCAAGCUGGUCUCUGAGGGAGGGGGUAUUUGGCCACAUCUGGAGAUGUUCCUUACGCAAACGACUUGGAAGGGCAAGGGGGUUCUCACACGAGCGGACUGACGUUAGCAAUACCUCUGAGCAGCCUCCGGGACACAGGGCAGCUACUGAAAUAAAGAACAGUGCCAAGUCUGAGAAGGACUGGGAGUUUACCUUACACAAAGGAGAGAUGUGGUACUGAGGAGAAGGCUCAAAGGCUUGCUGCUUUC
rnacentral:lncRNA from 1 species